AUCUGAAGGACCCCGGCGGAGGUAGAGGUGUCUCCUCUUCCCCCAAACCCAUCCUCAGACUUGCUCCAGAAAGUUUGGAGGGUGGGUACACCCUGACUCAGGCAACCCGCUCCCCCAAACCCACGGCUGACUAAUAUGAUAUGACAAAAGCCGGUGAUGGAUUUGGUAUAUGUUAAUUCACAAUGCCCUUUCCUCCAGAAUUUAACUAUAAGUUAAUACACACCGGAAACCACGCGCAUACACGCUCGUUAAUGGGCUUAGGUAUUAGCGAGCCCUAACGAUGCAUACAAAUGUGUUCUGCGCUCUGUAGGCCCUUCAAGAUUUAUGGGCCUUGAGCUCUCUGAAGCUGUAAACAAGGAGAAAAAAAAGAGAAAGGAGAGAGAGACUGGGGGAAAGAGACAGAGGCCUGACUCACCCCUCCAGAUUGUGGGAGAGAAGGGAUCUUUGCAAGUGGGUUCCUAAGUCUUUUGCUUUCCUUACAAGCUCGGUGUGUGUGGUUUGGGGCAUUGGGCUGGGGCUGGGGUGGGGGUUGCGCCUGGACGCUGGUGUGCGUGGGCAGUGUGCCGUUUGCGAGCUGGGUAGGGCGAAAAGCUUCCUAUGAACUGCUGUGCGGGGGCCGCAUCUAGCAGGCACCCGUGGGCAAGUAUCUGCGGGUGUGCACACUGUGCUAGGUGUGCGUGUGUGUGUGCGUGUGUGCGCGCGCGCGCCUGUGUGCCUGUGUGACAAGCAGGCCUCCCUCUGGGCCCGGUGGCUGUCCCCUGAACCCUGCGAACAAAUCUCUAACAACAAUCAUAAUAACAAUAAAUAAUAAAUAACAAUAAAACGGUAGUUAACAGUCCCUCCCUAGCAGGAUAACAAUAAAAUGCAAGAGGAGAUAUUUUGAGGAGGGGCCGGGGAAGGAGUCGGAAUCACAGCAUCCGAGGGGAAGACAAGGGAGGAAGGAAGGAAGUUAGCUUCUUCCUAAGCCCUUGGAGGGCUGGAUUUAGGAACCCCCUCUCCAGACAAGGUCCUCCGGCCGAGGAGGAGAGGGAGAGCCCCCGGAGGCCGCUCUUUCCUGCUUCGUUUUCUCCGGCUUUUGCUUUGUGCGAUCGGGGGAGGGAUCCCACAUAUGGGGGUGAAUUGUGGCUUUGGGGAGCCUCUGGAGCCCUUGUUUUAAAGAGGAGGGCAAGCAAAGAGGGUCACGGUGAGGGGGAGAAUGGGGGGGGGCAGAUGAGGCGAUGGCCAGAGCCAGGGUCCUAAACACUCGGGCAACAGAAGUGCCCGGGGAGGACGUGCCGCCGGGUAUGGACGGAAGCAGAAAAACAUUUAUGGCCGCCCGAGAGAGGGGAGAGCAGGGCCGGGGUUUCCGGUAGGCCCAGGGAAAGUUCCCUUUCUAGGGGCUUUUCAAACCACACAAACAACAACAACAACAACAACAAAAAGAAAAGAAGAAGGAGGAGGAGGAGGAAGGAUUUGAGGCGCGCUGAAUUUUCCUUCGCGGGCUUGGAGCGAGCGGAUUGCCAUAAAGAAGCGAAGACCACGAUCCCGGAUUCUUCCACGUCCACCUCAUUUUCUCCAGCCGGUGACCCAUCUGGUCUGAAAGGGACGGAGACCUACACUUUCCACUGAGUCACUUCUUUAAGACCGGAGCACACACAAAGAUUCAAAAGGGAACCCGGGGCGGCCUUGCAUUUGAACACCACACGAGGAGGGGGAACACUGUGAUAACCAGUUGGACAAAAUACUAAUAAAAUAAAACACACCCGGGUCGGAGCACUGAGCGCAGGGCCUCUCCACUUGCCGGAUCUCUCAACCACCGGGAGACUGACACAAUGGGGGCUCCUGGACUGCCCCCCAGCCACUCCUGGAUGGUUUCCCAAAGCCUAGCUACCUCCAACCCUCCUUGUGUGUUGGGGUGGGGAAUAGCUGUACCCAGACACCUCUGAACCCUGUCAUAUGUAAAGCGUGCUCACUUGAAGAAUAUCUUGAAGAAGAAGGAGAAGAAGGAGGAGGAGAAGGCAGGCCGGCUUAGAGCUGUGUUUACUUCUAGUUCUACUGAUCCGUUCUCAUCUGGAGACUUUAUUUAUAACCCCCACUAUAACUCUCUCUGUUUGGAGGCACUGGUGGUUCUAUUGACAGACUGAUGUCUAGAAAAUAUUGCUCUAUCUCUAACCAUCCCUAAAUGUGCUGUGCUUGUAUUUACAGAUUUAUGCUGGAGGAAAAUAUAAUUAUUUCCAUUGUAUUUGUGCAUAUACAAUAGUUACAGAAGCAGAUUUAUAUAUGAGGAGAUAUACGACUCUCUUAUAGCCAUCCAGUUUUAUGGACAUUUGAUAUCCUGACAGAUUUAUAUCUCUGAGCAGCUAUAUAGAUAAAUGUAUAUGGUUGGAAUUAUGGAUCAGGAGAUAUAUACUUAUUGAUUGUGAUAUAGAGUAGUUAGAACAUUCACUCAGAGCCAUAUAUGGAUAUGGAGAUAGUUCUAUAUUAUUAUCACUAUAUAUAGGCAUAUCUAUUUAUAACUACAUAGUUAUAAAAAUAGACAUAAGUAAUUACAGUCCUAUAUGUACAUGCUGCUAUCUCUCUGUAGAGUUAUAGACACUUGGCGAAUAUAACUCCGAGGAGAUAUCUGUAUGUAUAUAAGGGUGUAAUUACCUCGUGAUGUGUGUGUAUUGAGGCUCAGACCAGUCUAUCUCUGUACAGACAUAUUUAUACGUAGGGGCUGAGAGAGACUUGUUCAUGGAAAUAUUGCCGGAGAAGCAAUGGAAAAGCAGGAUCUGGCCAUCUAGGAAAUCAGCUAGCAGAGUUCUUUACUUGCAGAGGGAUGGAGUUGACUGAAGGGUAAACAGAACAUAGGCAGCCUCAAGGAGAAGAGGUGCAGGGAAGGUGAUUGGGGCAUGGCUGGAACAGACAGGCAGGAAAGGGGUAGACACACACAGACAGGGCAGCCACCUGAAGAUGGGGGACUGGUUUUGUGAGGAGCAGGUGCAGAUGGUCACUGGGUCUUAUGGACGGGUAGGCAGUGAACAGUACUAUGACCUAGAGAUCCAUUCCAGCUCUCCGCUGAGGGAGCAGACCCUCAGGUGGGCUUUGGGGCACUAAAGGGCAGCUACCACCUAGCCCCUCCAGCAUUCUGGGCACAUUGCUCUUGAAUCCUAGUUUCGGGGUCUCAAAGAGUAGGUUUCAGAGGCGAGGAGGGGGGUGUACUUUCACUGCCGCUGCCUCUGGGAAUAGGGCCAGGAAAGCCAGGUAGUGUAGUAUGGCAAAAUAAAGCUCGUUUUCACCUGGGCCUCCUGUACUCCUGGGGGGGCCUGUGUGGGGCCUGUGUGGCAGGAGUCUGGUGGAUUGAGGGAUAAAUUUUCAAGGGUUGGGCUUCUUCUGAUGGGAGCUUCAGGAAGCCUUCCUCACCCCCCUUCUCUGAGGCCCAGGCCCCUGGAACCUAGUUCUGUUCCACUGGACAGCUCCUUCUCUGUUGCUCCCCAACUUGGGGCUCCCUCUGCUCUGGGUACAGAAGGCUAUACCCUCCAACUCUCUAACAGCACUGCCCUGGGCCUUUAUGGGAGAAUUUGACUUCAAUAAGUGGGGAACGUGGAUUGACACUUCUAGAGCUCAUUCCCCGUCCCCCCCAGCUCACAGCUACCCGGCUUUCUCACCAGCCUCCUUCCAGGCACCACAGGCUCCAGGCUCUGCAAUUCCUCCCUUGCCACCAGCCAUCCCAGGAGAAAAGACAUUUUUCUCCUGGUCCCAGUUCUUUUUUUUUUUUUUUUUUUUUUUU